rnacentral:rRNA from 1 species
CGGGACGGGUGAGUAACGCGUGGGUAACCUGCCUCAUACAGGGGGAUAACAGUUAGAAAUGGCUGCUAAUACCGCAUAAGCGCACAGGACCGCAUGGUCUGGUGUGAAAAACUACCGGUGGUAUGAGAUGGACCCGCGUCUGAUUAGCUAGUUGGAGGGGUAACGGCCCACCAAGGCGACGAUCAGUAGCCGGCCUGAGAGGGUGAACGGCCACAUUGGGACUGAGACACGGCCCAG